rnacentral:rRNA from 1 species
UACAGAGGUGGCAAGCGUUGUUCGGAAUUACUGGGCGUAAAGGGCGCGUAGGCGGCCUUCUAAGUCAGACGUGAAAUCCCCCGGCUUAACCUGGGAACUGCGUCUGAUACUGGAGGGCUUGAGUGCGGGAGAGGGAUGUGGAAUUCCAGGUGUAGCGGUGAAAUGCGUAGAUAUCUGGAGGAACACCGGUGGCGAAGGCGACUCUUUGGUCUGUAACUGACGCUGAGGCGCGAAAGCGUGGGGAGCAAACAGG